rnacentral:lncRNA from 1 species
CAAUCCUGGCAUUCAUACAUCAUAUGUAAAAUAAAAGCAUGAUAAUAUGAAAUAUAGAAUAGUAUAUUCAUAGGCGUAAUGUAAUGAUAUAAUACAUAUAUUCAUCAUCAAUCAUGAUAAAAACCAAGCCUCCUCCGCAGGCAUCUCACCCGGGGAAUCGUUUUUUUCCCGAACUGCCCAUUCGCGGGCUAAAACCAUAGAGAUGCCUGCGGAGGAGGCUAAUAAUAACCCAACUGAAACCAAUCGAUUAAAAACUCAAAUUUACUAUAAGUAAAGUUGACUAUUGUUCGUUUCAAAUACAUGUACACAUUCAUUUUAUUAUUAUAUUGUAUCGUCUUCAAUACAGAUUACAAAAUUAUUUACAUAAAUAAUAUCACUGAAAUUAGCGUAGCGAGAUGAAUUAUCCAAGGAAACGGCGUUCCAAAACACUCAAAAUAUAAAACAUUGAAAUUAACGUGGACAUCAGAGUGUUAAACCCGAGACAAACUCUUUAAUUUGUAGAUAUGAUAUUUUUCGGGGGGUGUCAUACAUACUCCCAUGGUAGGGUCCCGUGAAUUCCUUUAUUAUAAAGAUAUAUGUCUUUAGUAUGUACAAAUAUAGAAAAGUAAUUUAUAUUGAGCAUAUGCUUCAUAAAAUUCAUAGACUACUAGUUUUUUUAAGUAACUAUUAUCUCGAUGAUAAAACUUAUCAAACAUUGUGAAAAAUGUGCACAUAAAUUGACUCACGCACUGUUCGCGAUAAUUCAUUUUUCAGAGGAUUGUAACAAUUUUAGAAUUCAUGUUUUCGCAGAAUGUUGUAAUUAUUCAGUAAAAUACUUCUAUUUCUGUCGGUGUGAAGUUGUAGCUACCAGCAAACAACGACUGGGUUUGUUGGGUGUUAUAUUGAUACCCAGGUGGAGGUUGAUAUGUGUGACCAAGGUUGCUAAAUGAGUUUUGGUUGCUUGUUGGCAUUGCUACAGAUGUGCAGAUCAUGACCUUGACCAAAUCUUGCUCCAUAAGAAGAAUAACAGUAGAUUGCGUUGCCAUUUUUACCGUUAAUGACCGGACAUUUGAACGGUUGCAUGUUGUUUGGGUUUCGUAAUGAGAACAAAAAUGAUGCGUUGGAACUUUUGCACUGACUUGAACCUAGGAGAAGAAU